rnacentral:rRNA from 1 species
UACGUAGGGGGCAAGCGUUGUCCGGAAUCAUUGGGCGUAAAGCGCGUGUAGGCGGUUCGGUAAGUCUGCUGUGAAAGUCCAGGGCUCAACCCUGGGAUGCCGGUGGAUACUGUCGGACUAGAGUACGGAAGAGGCGAGUGGAAUCCCGGUGUAGCGGUGAAAUGCGCAGAUAUCGGGAGGAACACCAAUUGCGAAGGCAGCUCGCUGGGACGUCGACUGACGCUGAGACGCGAAAGCGUGGGGA